rnacentral:rRNA from 1 species
GAUGAACGCUGGCGGCGUGCCUCAAACAUGCAAGUCGAGCGGGGCUAUGUAAUAUCGCAAGGUAGAACAUAGCCUAGCGGCGAACGGGUGAGUAACACGUGGGUAACCUGCCUGGAAGACAGGGAUAACGAUUCGAAAGGGUCGCUAAUACCUGAUAAUAUCCUUUCAUCGCAUGGUGAUAGGAAGAAAGGGGAAACCCGCUUUCAGAUGGGCCCGCGUCCCAUCAGCUAGUUGGUAAGGUAAAGGCUUACCAAGGCGACGACGGGUAGCCGGUCUGAGAGGAUGUACGGCCACACUGGGACUGAGAUACGGCCCAGACUCCUACGGGAGGCAGCAGUUGGGAAUCUUAGGCAAUGGACGAAAGUCUGACCUAGCGACGCCGCGUGAGGGAAGAAGGCUUCGGGUUGUAAACCUCUGUCAUGGGGGAAGAAGUAAGUGACGGUACCCCCAGAAGAAGCCCCUGCUACUACGUGCUAGCAGCCGCGGUAAUACGUAGGGGGCGAGCGUUAUNCGGAAUUAUGGGCGUAAAGGCGAGUAGGCGGUCUGUUAAGUCAGGUGUGAAAUUUCAGGCUCAACCUGAAAC